GACGAACGCUGGCGGCGUGCUUAACACAUGCAAGUGGAGCGACGAACCAGGGCUUCGGCCUGGGGCAGAGCCGCGAACGGGUGAGUAACACGUCGGGUAACCUGCCCGUGAUGAUCGGGACAACCCGGGAACCCGGGCUAUACCGAAUGUGCUGCUCUCGCAUCAGUGAGAGUAGGAAAGGAAGCUUCGGCCUCCGCAUCAGGAUGGG
rnacentral:rRNA from 1 species